rnacentral:rRNA from 1 species
UACAGAGGUCUCAAGCGUUUGUUCGGAUUCAUUGGGCGUAAAGGGUGUGUAGGUGGCGCCGUAAGUCGGGUGUGAAAUUUCGGAGCUUAACUCCGAAACUGCAUUCGAUACUGCGGUGCUUGAGGACUGGAGAGGAGACUGGAAUUCAUGGUGUAGCAGUGAAAUGCGUAGAGAUCAUGAGGAAGACCAGUGGCGAAGGCGGGUCUCUGGGCCGAUACUGACGCUGAGGAGCGAAAGCGUGGGUAGCGAACAGG